AUUGAACGCUGGCGGCAGGCCUAACACAUGCAAGUCGAGCGGAUGAAGGGAGCUUGCUCCUGGAUUCAGCGGCGGACGGGUGAGUAAUGCCUAGGAAUCUGCCUGGUAGUGGGGGAUAACGUCCGGAAACGGGCGCUAAUACCGCAUACGUCCUGAGGGAGAAAGUGGGGGAUCUUCGGACCUCACGCUAUCAGAUGAGCCUAGGUCGGAUUAGCUAGUUGGUGGGGUAAAGGCCUACCAAGGCGACGAUCCGUAACUGGUCUGAGAGGAUGAUCAGUCACCAUGGAACUGAGAAAGGGUCCAGACCCCUACGGGAGGCAGCAGUGGGGAAUAUUGGACAAGGGGCGAAAGCCUGAUCCAGCCAUGUCGCGUGGGUGAAGAAGGUCUUCGGAUUGUAAAGCACUUUAAGUUGGGAGGAAGGGCAGUAAGUUAAUACCUUGCUGUUUUGAGGUUACCAACAGAAUAAGCACCGGCUAACUUCGU
rnacentral:rRNA from 1 species